UCAUCCCGUUCGAAGCAAACACUCCAUCCAAGCUUCACGGAACAGAGCAUCCUCUCACGGGAUAAACUCAACGUCUCAGCUCAUCUUCCCACGCGUCUGGCUCAGCGCCUCUCCAAUCCGCAUCACCCAAAGCAUCUUCCUCCCAGCUUCUCCCGCUAGAUCCCCUCCACGGAUUGCGUCUCAAUCAAACUCCCAAACGUGGAUCUCAGCUCUCCUUCUAUCUCAGUCCCACGCUUAUCCUCUCGUUCGCAAUGACCGUCAACCACCCACGGAUAACUCCCAGCCGAGAUCCUCUCAUCAUCUUCCUUCUCCCACGUCUCCGUCCAGCAUCUUCCGAACCAACCCAGCUCACCAUGUUUGUGAUCUAU
rnacentral:lncRNA from 1 species